rnacentral:rRNA from 1 species
CCUACGGGAGGCAGCAGUGGGGAAUAUUGGACAAUGGGCGAAAGCCUGAUCCAGCCAUGCCGCGUGUGAGAAGAAGGCCUUCGGGUUGUAAAGCACUUUCAGUGGGGAAGAAAGCCUUGGGGCUAAUACCCUCGAGGAAGGACAUCACCCACAGAAGAAGCACCGGCUAACUCCGUGCCAGCAGCCGCGGUAAUACGGAGGGUGCGAGCGUUAAUCGGAAUUACUGGGCGUAAAGCGCGCGUAGGCGGUCUGAUAAGCCGGUUGUGAAAGCCCCGGGCUCAACCUGGGAACGGCAUCCGGAACUGUCAGGCUAGAGUGCAGGAGAGGAAGGUAGAAUUCCCGGUGUAGCGGUGAAAUGCGUAGAGAUCGGGAGGAAUACCAGUGGCGAAGGCGGCCUUCUGGACUGACACUGACGCUGAGGUGCGAAAGCGUGGGUAGCAAACAGGAUUAGAUACCCGGGUAGUC